UACGAAGGGGCCUAGCGUUGCUCGGAUUUACUGGGCGUAAAGGGCGCGUAGGCGGAUGACCAAGUUGGGGGUGAAAUCCCGGGGCUUAACCUCGGAACUGCCUCCAAAACUGGUCGUCUUGAGUUUGGGAGAGGUGUGUGGAACUCCGAGUGUAGAGGUGAAAUUCGUAGAUAUUCGGAAGAACACCAGUGGCGAAGGCGACACACUGGCCCAAUACUGACGCUGAGGCGCGAAAGCGUGGGGAGCAAACAGG
rnacentral:rRNA from 1 species